rnacentral:lncRNA from 1 species
GCGGGGCCCGGACGGCUUCCCGAAGGGGACUCUCCCCUCUCCGCGUAGAAGGUGCAGAUGGUUUGACCCCCCACCCCGAGCGAGGUGCCUCGUCCCAGCCCCGGCUGGACUGUACCAUCGGGCGGUGCCGCCGGGAUUGCUCCCCCCACCACUACCAUCAGUUCCCCCCCCACCCGGGUCCGCGGUCGGUUGGCCCCGGCCGGGCGCUGAGACGCAGAAAGAGCUGGGCGCCAUUUUGGGUGGGACUAAGCAAAGACGAAACACUCUCCCAGGCGAUGGGAUCCUCUGGACCCCGGUUUAUCCGGUUCCCUUAAUCCUUUAGGUACUUACACGACGUUGGGUGAGGGGAGCUGGAAGAUCAGCGGGUCCCGGAUCCUCUCUCCCUAGGGGUGAUGGAAAUCAAACCCCCCCGCCGCCUCCAGGUGGUUCUUCCCGCCGCAGAGUGGGAGCAGCAUAAAAGGCGGGGUCUUAUUAGCAUAAUCUGCCUGGCAACCUGAUCUCAACGUUAUGUGAUUGGCUAAACUCUGAAAGUCCCAUGCUGUUCCUAGAGACUGGGAACGCUGGGCCGAAUUGACAAGCCCAGAUUUAAGAGUCAUGACGAAAAUCCUGGGACGCUAAUUCAGUCGGCAGAGAAGCCAAAAGGAGACUCACACAAUGGCCCAAUGACUGAAGGCCUCUUUAUUUCGUGCUCUGCAGUUCGUGUAAAACCCAAUAGAAGAGCGGGUCUCUGGCGGUGCUCGCCUGCGUUUGUACUCUAAGCCAAUCAGAAAGCCCUACUGUUUGCAUUCGGGGUCAAGGCCCAUCUAAGAACCUUGGCGGGCAAGUGAAGGGGCACAGUUCAGCAUGCUUGAGCGUCCGCUGUGGGAGAUCCAAUGCACACCCGAGUUCCCAGCCCACCUGUCCCGAUCCUGGAAAGCUCUCGAGGUGUGGGCUGUGCAUAUACCCGCCCCAGGGCGGACCUGCCCAGAACGCGCGCGCCUGGGGCACUACUGGGACACGCCUUUCCGGGACUACAGAAACCGGUUAAACAGACUGCGGCCCGCGGGCCCAGGAGUGGCCUAUCAGCCUUCCAGACACAAGGGGACUGGGUCAUCAGACCUUGCCAUCCCCUUAGAGCGCCUACACUACCCCUCUCUUUUCCACCAUUUACCAUUCUGGAAAGGCGUUUUUCAGAAGCAAUCGGAGUGAGGAUGUGUCUCAGAGUGCUUGCCUACCACACUAAGUCCGGUGCUCCAGCCCCAGCACCACAUAACCCUGGAGUUGUGGUGUACCCGGAAGGUGGAGGCAGUAGGAGCAGUUAAGGCCAGCUUAAGCUACUUGGGACUGGUUGAGGUUUAGUCAACAGUGAACAAACAAACAAACAAACAAACAAAAAUGACAGAACUCCCUUCUUUCUUAACUUAGGACAUCCACAUCAUACUGUCCCUAAAGACUGCCUUCUCAAAGUUCAGCCAGGUGUGUAGAAACAAGCUCAGGCUUUGAAAUGAGACAAACUGGGAACUCCCCGACUGAAAACAGGAAUGGCAACCAAAGGCCAGAGACCUUCGCUCUUUGUGUCUGCAGGGAAUAUUUUCAUUGCCCAUGACCUGUACUUUGCUGUGUUGCUUUGAAGGUUAAAUGAGAUCAUACUUUAAAAUUCUCUUCCAACACUGACUAGAACUUUAAGAAACAGAAAUGUUAGUGAUAUUAAAGCCUUCAGAGAGACAGCAAGAUAACCCAAACUCCUAGUCCCAGUUCCUGAGUGCAAAGGCAGACUUGUUUGAGGCAUACACAGUUCCAGGCCAGCCAGCAGUAUACAACAAAAUUCAGGUUCCAAAACAAACCCCCGUACAAAACUACUGGCUAGCCAAGAAAAAAAAGAAAUACCAGGAAACAAAAGACUCGAGGAUAGCAAACAUCCACAGGGAGAAAUACUAAAGUCCAUUCGACUAUAUUGCCUACAGCUUUGUUUAAAUGCCUUGAGAACAGUGAAAAGCUGAGGCCAGUUUUUAAAACUCAAAGACAGGGCGGCUGGCCAUGGGAGGCAGGACUUAAGGAAGAAGCUACGAUUUGUUCUUCUGUAGACUUGGGAGCAGGACGUGGAAUCAAGGCCGUCAGUCAGCAGGCCCUGCUGAACCCAGUAGAAAAGAAAUCAUGAAAGGGAGACAGAUGAGCCGGGCUCGCAUUUGUCACGUGCAGCACUGGUGUCUCCUCUUUGGAUCUAUUAAAAAGAAGCCAUGUGCUUCUGGAAUGUUUUAUAGUAGCCAGAAAAGUCUCUGGAAUGAUUGCCAGAGGUAGAUGGGUCCUCUAUGGCCUUGGAAGGCUGCCAUGCCCUGCACCCAUGGCCUCUAGAGAUCCUUUUGAGAUUUAACAGUAUUAUAUCUUCUCUGAUGGAUUAAGAGUCCCAGAGGUCAGGUUAUCAGAGAUGACAAGAAAGAAAACUCAACAGGAGAAACGAGACUACCUAUCUAACUGGGACAUAAGUAAAUGCUCUAAAAACCUUCUUUUUUAUAACCAGAAUAAAGUUACUGUGAUAGAUGAAGCCAAUUUUUAUUUCUAUAUAUUUCUUUUUCCUAAUGUCUUAGGAAUGUCUUCUUUGCAGUUGUCUUCAUUCCUGUUUGUGUACAUACAUGUACAUGUGUGUACACGGGUGCACUGUUAGGUCUCAAACCCAGAACAAAUGGCUGAGGCGCUCAUUAAUGUAUCAAAGCAGACAGUGGCCACCAUGUUCUGCCUGCAUCUUUCAGUCCCUACCUGUUAUGUGAUAUGGUUGGCAUACCCCUGCCCCUACCCUAAACUCCAACCUCGAGGCUGGGUUGCCCUUCCUCCAGCUGCUCUUCUGCCCAUAUAAUCCAGCUGUUUUGGUUACCAAUCCUUUUUGGUCCACCUUUACUCUCUUGGCCAGUCUCCUGGCCCAGGCUACCCACCUCUGAACUCUCCCAGAUGUCUCUGCCCCUCCCUUUUAUCUACAAUAAACUUUCUCUAACAUACCU